rnacentral:rRNA from 1 species
AUUGAACGCUGGCGGCAGGCCUAACACAUGCAAGUCGAGCGGCAGCGGAAAGUAGCUUGCUACUUUGCCGGCGAGCGGCGGACGGGUGAGUAAUGCUUAGGAAUCUGCCUAUUAGUGGGGGACAACAUCUCGAAAGGGAUGCUAAUACCGCAUACGUCCUACGGGAUAAAGAAGGGGAUCUUCGGACCUUGCGCUAAUAGAUGAGCCUAGGUCGGAUUAGCUAGUUGAGGGGGUAAAGGCCUACCAAGGCGACGAUCUGUAGCGGGUCUGAGAGGAUGAACCGCCAAACUGGGACUGAGACACGGCCCAGACUCCUAUGGGAGGCAGCAGUGGGGAAUAUUGGACAAUGGGGGGAACCCUGAUCCAGCCAUGCCGCGUGUGUGAAGAAGGCCUUAUGGUUGUAAAGCACUUUAAGCGAGGAGGAGGCUACUUUAGUUAAUACCUAGAGAUAGUGGACGUUACUCGCAGAAUAAGCACCGGCUAACUCUGUGCCAGCAGCCGCCGUAA